UACGUAGGGUGCGAGCGUUGUCCGGAAUUAUUGGGCGUAAAGCGCUCGCAGGUGGUUCGAUACGUCGUGCGUGAAAGACCCCGGCUCAACUGGGGAGUGUCGUGCGAUACGGUCGGACUGGAGGCCAGUAGGGGGAUGCGGAAUUCCGGGUGUAGUGGUGGAAUGCGUAGAGAUCCGGAGGAACACCAGCGGCGAAGGCGGCAUCCUGGACUGGUCCUGACACUCAUGAGCGAAAGCGUGGGGAGCGAUCCGG
rnacentral:rRNA from 1 species